AGACCCGAAACCCGGUGAUCUAGCCAUGGGCAGGUUGAAGGUUGGGUAACACUAACUGGAGGACCGAACCGACUAAUGUUGAAAAAUUAGCGGAUGACCUGUGGCUGGGGGUGAAAGGCCAAUCAAACCGGGAGAUAGCUGGUUCUCCCCGAAAGCUAUUUAGGUAGCGCCUCGUGAAUUCAUCUCCGGGGGUAGAGCACUGUUUCGGCUAGGGGGCCAUCCCGGCUUACCAACCCGAUGCAAACUGCGAAUACCGGAGAAUGUUAUCACGGGAGACACACGGCGGGUGCUAACGUCCGUCGUGAAGAGGGAAACAACCCAGACCGCCAGCUAAGGUCCCAAAGUCAUGGUUAAGUGGGAAACGAUGUGGGAAGGCCCAGACAGCCAGGAUGUUGGCUUAGAAGCAGCCAUCAUUUAAAGAAAGCGUAAUAGCUCACUGGUCGAGUCGGCCUGCGCGGAAGAUGUAACGGGGCUAAACCAUGCACCGAAGCUGCGGCAGCGACACUUAAGUGUUGUUGGGUAGGGGAGCGUUCUGUAAGCCUGUGAAGGUGGCCUGUGAGGGUUGCUGGAGGUAUCAGAAGUGCGAAUGCUGACAUAAGUAACGAUAAAGCGGGUGAAAAGCCCGCUCGCCGGAAGACCAAGGGUUCCUGUCCAACGUUAAUCGGGGCAGGGUGAGUCGACCCCUAAGGCGAGGCCGAAAGGCGUAGUCGAUGGGAAACGGGUUAAUAUUCCC
rnacentral:rRNA from 1 species